UACGUAGGGUGCGAGCGUUAAUCGGAAUUACUGGGCGUAAAGCGUGCGCAGGCGGCGCGUUAAGACAGGUGUGAAAGCCCCGAGCUUAACUUGGGAAUUGCGCUUGUGACUGGCGUGCUGGAGUGUGGCAGAGGGAGGUGGAAUUCCACGUGUAGCAGUGAAAUGCGUAGAGAUGUGGAGGAACACCGAUGGCGGAAGGCAGCCUCCUGGGCCAGCACUGACGCUCAUGCACGAAAGCGUGGGGAGCAAACAGG
rnacentral:rRNA from 1 species